GACUCGGGCUCCUGCAGCUUCUGCGGGGCUUGGCGCCGCCGUCCGUGAGCACCCAGGCCGGGACCCCACAUCCCCAGGCCGGGACCCCACAUCCCCAGGCCAGCCCUGACCCCGGCAGCCCCUCCGCCGGGAUUCCUUUCCGAGGUACUGGUGCCGGCCCAAGACCCGGGCAGCGCUUUGUCGUGUCCGCCCCUCAGUGAUCAGCUCCGGGUCCCCCUGCUUGGCCCCGCGCGUCCCAAGCGCAGUCCCCGGAAGUGCGCGCCGGGGCCCCAGCAAAGAAGAGAAGAAGGAGAGUGGCCACGUUGAUUCAGCCAAGCACCUCCAGGAGGUCUCCUCUGGAUGUCCCAUGAGGCUGCCCCUCAGCCACAGCCCAGAGCACGUGGAGAUGGCUUUGCUCAGCAACAUCCUAGCGGCCUAUUCCUUUGUCUCAGGUGUGUCUUUGAGAAGAUGAGAAGAUCGCAGACCUGUGUUCUAAACUGGCAUGGUUCUAAAGACAAGGU
rnacentral:sRNA from 1 species